UACGUAGGGUGCGAGCGUUAAUCGGAAUUACUGGGCGUAAAGCGUGCGCAGACGGCUUUGCAAGACAGAUGUGAAAUCCCCGGGCUCAACCUGGGAACUGCAUUUGUGACUGCAAGGCUAGAGUACGGCAGAGGGGGAUGGAAUUCCGCGUGUAGCAGUGAAAUGCGUAGAUAUGCGGAGGAACACCGAUGGCGAAGGCAAUCCCCUGGACCUGUACUGACGCUCAUGCACGAAAGCGUGGGGAGCAAACAGG
rnacentral:rRNA from 1 species